GGUUUAAAAGGACAACAGGGACUCGUGGGGCCUGCAGGCCAAAAGGGUGAAAUUGGCGCUGUAGGAAUGACUGGUCCGGUUGGGCUUCCUGGUAAAGAUGGAGCACCUGGACCACCAGGAGAAGAUGGAACUCCAGGAGCCAAAGGAGCCUCUGGUGAACCAGGAAAACAGGGUCCAGUCGGCCCGGUGGGCCCGCAGGGAAUCCAGGGCGAUAAAGGUGACCUAGGACUCAUGGGCCCUCGUGGAAUCAAGGGUCACACAGGU